rnacentral:misc_RNA from 1 species
UUGAUCAGAAGACUUUGGACCAAUGUGCUGUUGAAAUUGGUUGGCCAAAUUUUGUUUCCUCACAGGAUGUUCUGGUUUUGGAAAGAAGUUUUUUUCUCUCUUUAUGUGUCUGUCUGCAUUGUUGUUUGAGUUACCAUUGAGAAAAGUAUCACCUUGAAUAUUUUAAUUAGAAGCUACUAAAAAUUGAUUGUAAGUUAAAUUUGACAUAUUUUAGUAAUAAGAACUCCAAAAUCAACAGCAUUGUACUUUUUCAAAAAUUAGAUGUGAACCAUAAUGCCAAAUAGACUCUACUUUGCUUCAUUUUGGCUAUUGGUUGGAGGAGGAUGAUUGAGACAAUAGAUGCCUUUGUUGAUAGCUCACUUCACACUUUCUCCUGCUUCUUGUUGCAGGGAAUU